AACGAACGCUGGCGGCAUGCCUAACACAUGCAAGUCGAACGAUCCCUUCGGGGAUAGUGGCGCACGGGUGCGUAACGCGUGGGAACCUGCCCUUAGGUUCGGAAUAACUCAGAGAAAUUUGAGCUAAUACCGGAUAAUGUCUUCGGACCAAAGAUUUAUCGCCUUUGGAUGGGCCCGCGUUGGAUUAGCUAGUUGGUGGGGUAAAGGCCUACCAAGGCGACGAUCCAUAGCUGGUCUGAGAGGAUGAUCAGCCACACUGGGACUGAGACACGGCCCAGACUCCUACGGGAGGCAGCAGUGGGGAAUAUUGGACAUUGGGCGAAAGCCUGAUCCAGCAAUGCCGCGUGAGUGAUGAAGGCCUUAGGGUUGUAAAGCUCUUUUACCCGGGAUGAUAAUGACAGUACCGGGAGAAUAAGCCCCGGCUAACUCCGUG
rnacentral:rRNA from 1 species